rnacentral:rRNA from 1 species
UCAAGCAAAAAAGAGCGCAGGGUGGAUGCCUUGGCACUAAGAGCCGAUGAAAGACGUGAUAAGCUGCGAAAAGCUGCGGGGAGGAGCAAAUAUCCACUGAUCCGCAGAUGUCUGAAUGGGGAAACCCGCAUGAGCAACCCUCAUGCAUCCAUACGCCAAUCCAUAACGUAUGGAGGGGAACCGCCUGAACUGAAACAUCUAAGUAGGGCGAGGAAGAGAAAGAAAAUUUAUCGAUUUCCAAAGUAGCGGCGAGCGAAAUGGAAAGAGGCCAAACCGGAGUGCGUGCACUCCGGGGUUCGGACCGCAUUUAAGAUCUGAUGAUCCUAGCAGAAAGGUUUUGGGAAAGCCUGCCGGAGAGGGUGAAAGCCCCGUAAGCGAAAGGAAAGCCAGCUGAGCGGUAUCCAGAGUACAUCGAGACACGAGAAACCUUGAUGGAAUGAGCGGGGACCACCCCGUAAGCCUAAAUACUCCUUAGUGACCGAUAGCGCAUAGUACUGUGAAGGAAAGGUGAAAAGGACCCCGGGAGGGGAGUGAAAGAGAACCUGAAACCCUGUGUUUACAAGCUGUGGAAGUGCUUUAUAUGCACAACCGCGUACUUUUUGUAGAACGGUCCGGCGAGUUACGGGUACCGGCAAGGUUAAGCACUUAAGGUGUGGAGCCGAAGGGAAACCAAGUCUGAAUAGGGCGUCAAGUCAGUAUCCGUAGACCCGAAACCGGGUGAUCUACCCAUGUCCAGGUUGAAGUUGCCGUAAAAGGCAAUGGAGGACCGAACGCACAUCCGUUGAAAAGGGUGGCGAUGAGGUGUGGGUAGGGGAGAAAUUCCAAUCGAACCCGGAGAUAGCUGGUUCUCCUCGAAAUAGCUUUAGGGCUAGCCUCAUUUUAGUCUUAUGGAGGUAGAGCACUGAAUUUCCGCGGGGGCGUCAAAGCUUACCAAAGAAUAUCAAACUCCGAAUGCCAUGUAGAUGAUGAAUGGGAGUCAGACUGCACGAGAUAAGUUGGGCAGUCAAAAGGGAAAGAGCCCAGACCACCAGCUAAGGUCCCAAAGUGUGUGUUAAGUGGAAAAGGAUGUGGGAUUUCAAAGACAACUAGGAUGUUGGCUCAGAAGCAGCCACACAUUCAAAGAGUGCGUAACAGCUCACUAGUCGAGAGGUCCUGCGCCGAAAAUGUCCGGGGCUAAAACACAACACCGAAGCUGUGGAAUCACGUAAGUGAUUGGUAGAGGAGCAUUCUUAAGACCGACGAAGCUGUACCGGAAGGAGCAGUGGAGGGAUAAGAAGAGAGAAUGCCGGAAUGAGUAGCGAGAGAGAGGUGAGAAUCCUCUCGGCCGAAUAUCCAAGGUUUCCAGAGUAAAGCUGAUCUGCUCUGGGUAAGUCGGGGCCUAAGGAGAGGUCGAAAGACGUAUCCGAUGGACAACAGGUUUAGAUUCCUGUACCACAUAUGAACAGAACUGUGGGGACGCAUGUGGAGAGCACGAGCCGGGAAUGGAAAUACCGGUACAAGCGGAGAAGGAGUCUGGUUGGCAAAUCCGCCAGACAAUCCGAAGACGUGAUGUGGAGCGAAUUAGAGUAGCGAAGCGUGUGAGCCAUGUGCCGAGAAAAGCCGCUAUUGUUUCAUGUGUGCCCGUACCGUAAACCGACACAGGUGGAUGAGGAGAGAAUCCUAAGGCCGGCGGAAGAAGCAUUGUUAAGGAACUCGGCAAAAUGACCCCGUAACUUCGGGAGAAGGGGUGCCUGCGCAAGCAGGCCGCAGAGAAUAGGCUCAAGCAACUGUUUAGCAAAAACACAGGUCUAUGCGAAACCGAAAGGUGAAGUAUAUGGGCUGACGCCUGCCCGGUGCUGGAAGGUUAAGAGGAGAGGUUAGCGCAAGCGAAGCUUUGAAUUUAAGCCCCAGUAAACGGCGGCCGUAACUAUAACGGUCCUAAGGUAGCGAAAUUCCUUGUCGGGUAAGUUCCGACCCGCACGAAAGGCGUAAUGAUUUGAGCACUGUCUCG